rnacentral:rRNA from 1 species
CUCGAAUCAAGGUAGGAUAACCCCAACUUCAG